rnacentral:rRNA from 1 species
UGCCAGCCGCCGCGGUAAUACGGAGGGGGUUAGCGUUGUUCGGAAUUACUGGGCGUAAAGCGCACGUAGGCGGAUUAGUAAGUUAGGGGUGAAAUCCCGGGGCUCAACCCCGGAACUGCCUCUAAUACUGCUAGUCUUGAGUUCGAGAGAGGUGAGUGGAAUUCCGAGUGUAGAGGUGAAAUUUGUAGAUAUUCGGAGGAACACCAGUGGCGAAGGCGGCUCCCUGGCCAAAGACUGACGCUCAUGUGCGAAAGUGUGGGUAGCUAACAGGAUUAGAUA